UGGCGGACGGGUGAGUAACGCGUGGAUAACCUGCCGUAUACCGGGGGAUAACACUUAGAAAUAGGUGCUAAUACCGCAUAAGCGCACAGCUUCGCAUGAAACAGUGUGAAAAACUCCGGUGGUAUACGAUGGAUCCGCGUCUGAUUAGCUGGUUGGCGGGGUAACAGCCCACCAAGGCGACGAUCAGUAGCCGGCCUGAGAGGGUGAACGGCCACAUUGGGACUGAGACACGGCCCAAACUCCUACGGAAGGCAGCAG
rnacentral:rRNA from 1 species